rnacentral:rRNA from 1 species
GACGAACGCUGGCGGCGUGCUUAACACAUGCAAGUCGAACGAUGAAGCCAGCUUGCUGGUGGAUUAGUGGCGAACGGGUGAGUAACACGUGGGUGAUCUGCCCCAAACUUUGGGAUAAGCAUGGGAAACUGGGUCUAAUACCGAAUAUGACCGAUACUCGCCUGGGUGUUGGUGGAAAGCUCCGGCGGUUGGGGAUGGGCCCGCGGCCUAUCAGCUUGUUGGUGGGGUAGUGGCCUACCAAGGCGACGACGGGUAGCCGGCCUGAGAGGGCGACCGGCCACACUGGGACUGAGACACGGCCCAGACUCCUACGGGAGGCAGCAGUGGGGAAUAUUGCACAAUGGGCGCAAGCCUGAUGCAGCGACGCCGCGUGAGGGAUGACGGCCUUCGGGUUGUAAACCUCUUUCGCCAGGGACGAAGCGAAAGUGACGGUACCUGGAGAAGAAGCACCGGCCAACUACGUG